UACAGAGGUCCCGAGCGUUGUCCGGAAUUAUUGGGCGUAAAGAGCGUGUAGGCGGUUCGGUAAGUCUGUCGUGAAAUCCUGAGGCUCAACCUCGGGCGUGCGAUGGAUACUGCCGGGCUAGAGGGUGGUAGAGGCGAGUGGAAUUCCCGGUGUAGCGGUGAAAUGCGCAGAUAUCGGGAGGAACACCAGUAGCGAAGGCGGCUCGCUGGGCCACACCUGACGCUGAGACGCGAAAGCUAGGGGAGCGAACAGG
rnacentral:rRNA from 1 species